AUGUUUAUCUGGCAUGUGUCUGUAGAACUGGUAAUGCUCAGAAACAAAGACGAGCUGCAGACAGACACAGUGGCCAUGACAGGACAGCUGCCCCCGCGGGGACAGCUCCGAGCCUGCAGCCUCUGGCUGGCUCAGGCCGGUCUGUCCGGUCUUAUCCGGGCCACUAGGCACAGGAGCUGCCAUCACCACUGCCCCCCAUUUGCGAUUCUAUCUCCUCAUUUAGGGGAACGACAAGAAAUGGCCACCAACCCGCUGACCCCCUCCCGCAUCCAGGAUGGGGCGCAGCUGGCUGACUGUGAGGUGCCUGCAUCCCUCCUGGUAGGUGAGGUCCGACCACCUCAUCCACCUGGGCCUCGGGCCUGCCCCACCCUCCCUUUGUUCACACGUGGCUGUAAUCCACACGUGUGUCUGCACUUUCGUUCUGCCCACAGAGAGAUGCCGUCCAUGGUGACCUGCUGUGUGCUCCCAGAGCCCCCCUUCCUCCAGGGAGCCACUCCCAGAUGCUGGGGCCACCCUCUGGGUCUCUGCUUCCUUCGCUGCACAUCCAGCCUCUUCCCACUGAUCCUGGGGGUCUCCACCCUGAGCAUCUGUGCUGUCACCCCAGUCAAGCCUACGGAGCCUGGGACCAGGACUGCCUCCCGGAGCUGUGACCUCCCUUCCCUCAUGCCUGGUUGGCACAUCACACAAACCAACCCUGUUCAGGUUUUCAGGUUCACAUCAUACCCGCAGCUUCUCAGCUCAUACGACAUAAAUGCCCAAGUCCCACCGGACACGCGGCCCUUGGAUGUGGAUCAGGAAGAGGCUCUAAAGGCCGUAGUGCGGGGGAGCACCCCAGGGCAUCACCCGUCCAGGGAGGGCUGUGUCACAGAGCUGACUGGCGACACGCAUGGGUCACCUGUGCUGACGCAGAUUCGCCAUGAAGUGCUCACCAGUGCCAUCCUGACUGUCCACGAUCAAACACUGGCCUCCGUUACAAAUGCAGCAGCUGCAGUUCCCCAUGGAGGGAAGAGAGGUCAUCACAAGGAUGGGCCGUGCUGGAGCUCGAGCAGGCCAGGCCGCCCUGUCUGA
rnacentral:lncRNA from 1 species